rnacentral:lncRNA from 1 species
UGAAUAACGUAUAAUUUCAUAUCCUCCCUUAUGCUAAAAAAAUACAUUAUCGCAAAAUCAGUUAAAUGUAUAGGUUGCUCCAAAAGUAAUGCUUCCUACUUAUUUCCUAGGAAACUACAGCAAAUACAAAGAGUACAACAAUGCUAUUUGACCAAGAAGAUUCUCAGGUACAAAAUGCUAUUUAUUUCUCAGUGCAGUCACUAUCAUAAGCUUUGAAUUUUGACCAGCAAUGAAGAAGAGCUUGCACGCCGUGCUCAUAAAAAUCUGCACAGCUAAGGGUGACCCACUGCUUCAGAGCAGUGAUAGGAAAACAUUAACUGUGACCUCUUGUACGUCACAGUUGAACCCACAACUGAGAAUUUGUUUGGUCAGAAGUGGCAGCUAAUGGCAUCCAAGAAAGUUCACCUUGGACAAGAACUGCUUCAGAUGCAACCUGAAGGAGCCUCAGAAGUUCCCAAAUGAGAUUUCUCCAACCUGUAUAUCUCACUUAAAAUGACAUCAACCAAACCUUGACCAUCUGAUGUGCUAAAUCUGUAUGGAUCAUUAUUUUGAAAAAAAGACUAAAAGGAGUGGCUGUGCUAUGAGUUCAAUGGGCACCGCGGC